AUAAGCCAAAAAGUGUUUCCUAACCUAAUUGGGCUUGAUCUUUUUGGGCUACCAAAGCUGAUAGCUCUCCGUGCUGACAGUCAUAUUUCUGUUAACUGGCUCUUAUUAGAAGACUUUAUAUUGGAUGAUUGUCCUAAAACGAAAAUUCUUUGUUCUACAAUUCCAGAGUCAUCUACAUUGAAGAAAAGUUUUAAUCAAAGUGACCUCAGUGGCAAGAAAGUCAUGUGUCCAAGCUCAAUUAUUCGAGGGUUAGU
rnacentral:misc_RNA from 1 species